rnacentral:rRNA from 1 species
AAAGAGAUCGGGAUAACACCUGGGAAACAGAUGCUAAUACCGGAUAACAACAGAUGAUGCCUAUCAACUGUUUAAAAGAUGGUUCUGCUAUCACUCUUGGGAUGGACCUGCGGUGCAUUAGCUAGUUGGUAGGGUAACGGGCCUACCAAGGCGAUGAUGCAUAGCCGAGUUGAGAGACUGAUCGGCCACAUUGGGACUGAGACACGGCCCAAAACUCCUACGGGAGGCAGCAGUAGGGAAUCUUCCACAAUGGACGCAAGUCUGAUGGAGCAACGCCGCGUGAGUGAAGAAGGGUUUCGGGCUCGUAAAGCUCUGUUGUUAGUGAAGAAGGACAGGGGUAGUAACUGACCUUUGUUUGACGGUAAUCAAUUAGAAAGUCACGGCUAACUACGUGCCAGCAGCCGCGGUAAU